GUUCGCCCCUCCUCUGCCGUGAACUGCCUUCGUCCCGCUUCGCGCGGGUCAGCGUCCUGGGACUUCUGCCCCUGAUCACGAGCCUGGGCCGGGACCUUUACGUGAAGAGGGUCAGAUCUCCGCCUAAGAAUCUAAAGGGUCUCUUGUUACAGGCCUGUCUGUGCUGGGUGCCAUGGUGGCUCUGUGGACCCUCACUCUGGCCUUGGCUGCUGGCCUGGCUGCUACCAGCCCACCCAACAUUGUGCUGAUCUUUGCUGAUGACCUGGGCUAUGGGGACCUGGGCUCCUAUGGACACCCCAGUUCCACCACCCCCAAUCUGGACCAACUGGCCGCAGGGGGUCUGCGGUUCACGGACUUCUACGUGCCUGUGUCUCUGUGCACACCCUCCCGGGCUGCCCUCCUGACCGGCCGACUCCCAGUUCGGAUGGGCCUGUACCCUGGCGUUCUGGAGCCCAGCUCCCGAGGGGGCCUGCCCCUGGAGGAGGUGACCCUGGCUGAGGUCCUGGCUGCCCGAGGCUACCUCACAGGGAUAGCUGGCAAAUGGCACCUUGGGGUGGGGCCUGAGGGGGCCUUUCUGCCCCCGCACCAUGGCUUCCAUCGAUUCCUGGGCAUCCCAUACUCCCAUGACCAGGGCCCUUGCCAGAACCUGACCUGCUUCCCGCCGGCCACCCCCUGCGAUGGCGGCUGCGACCAGGGCCUGGUCCCUGUCCCUCUGUUGGCCAACCUAUCGGUGGAGGCACAGCCCCCUUGGCUUCCUGGACUUGAGGCCCGCUACGUGGCCUUCGCCCGUGACCUCAUGGCAGAUGCCCAGCGCCAGGGCCGCCCGUUCUUCCUGUACUACGCCUCCCAUCACACCCACUACCCCCAGUUCAGUGGGCAGAGCUUUUCUGGGCGCUCAGGCCGAGGGCCGUUUGGGGACUCCCUGAUGGAGCUGGAUGCGGCCGUGGGGGCCCUGAUGACGGCUGUGGGGGACCUGGGGCUGCUCGGAGAGACACUGGUCUUCUUCACUGCAGACAACGGACCUGAGACGAUGCGGAUGUCCCACGGCGGCUGCUCUGGCCUCCUGCGAUGCGGAAAGGGAACCACUUUCGAGGGGGGCGUCCGAGAGCCUGCCUUGGCCUUCUGGCCAGGCCACAUCGCUCCCGGUGUGACCCAUGAGCUAGCCAGCUCCCUGGACCUACUGCCCACCCUGGCAGCCCUGGCAGGGGCCCCGCUGCCCAAUGUCACCUUGGAUGGCGUUGACCUCAGCCCUCUGCUGCUGGGCACAGGCAAGAGUCCCCGGCAGACCCUCUUCUUCUACCCGGCCUACCCAGACGAGGUCCGAGGGGUCUUUGCUGUGCGAAGCGGCAAGUACAAGGCACACUUCUUCACCCAGGGCUCUGUCCACAGCGACACCACUGCGGACCCUGCCUGCCAUGCCUCUAGUCCUCUGACUGCCCAUGAGCCCCCGCUGCUCUUUGACCUGUCUGAGGACCCUGGUGAGAACUACAACCUUCUGGGGGGUGUGGCUGAGGUCGCCCCAGAGGCGCUGCAGGCGCUGAAGCAACUUCAGCUGCUCAAGGCCCAGUUUGAUGCUGCCGUGACCUUCAGCCCCAGCCAGAUAGCCCGGGGCGAGGACCCUGCCCUGCAGGUCUGCUGUCAGCCCAGCUGCACCCCCAGGCCAUCCUGCUGCCACUGCCCUGAGCUCCAGCCCUGAGAGCAUAGGCGGAGGCCAGCCCCGUGCCCCUCGCCCCACCCAGGCGUGUGAUGGUUCAUUGCUGUGCUGUGGGUGUGUAGAGGUGGUUUGUACCUGAGCACGCUAAUAACACCAGCUGACACUUGUAGGUGUGAGAAUUCACAUGAUCCUUGUGAUAGCCCUGAGAUAGGUGUUGUUCUGCCCGUUACAAAUGAGGAACCUGAGGCGUGGAGAGGUCCAGCAACUUGUCUGAGGUCACCCAGCCAGUGAGAGGUUGGCUCUGGAAGCUGCCCCCCUCCCCCUGGUGAUUGCUUGUGUCAGUGCAGACAAGCGUGGUGGUGAGUGUGGGCACACCUGUUCACGGGGGCAAAACUAGGUGCUUUUAUGUGCCAGGACGGGGUGAGGAGGGGGCGAGGGCAUGGCGGGCAGCAGACCCCGAAGACGCGGAGUGCCCACAAGAGCCAGGUUUUCCCCGGGGAAGAAGCACAGGAACUGGACCGCCCUGGGUGUUAGAAACCUGUCUGAAGGAGGGAGAGGGGUUACACGGUCUACUGUGGUGAAGUGGGCUGGGGAGCCCUGCCAGCUCUGAGGAAGGCAUGUCAGCAGCUCCAGAGGCUUCCCCUCAGCCCCCCAGUGCCCCUUCCAGAACUCUGCAUUUCCUACCUGCACACACAUUUCCAGUCUCCUGGCUUCGCCUCUGCCCCCAUGGGAGCCAUUCCCCACCGGCAAAGUGAUCUCUUAAAAACAAGCAGGUUGGGCUCCAUUUGUGCUCAAAACUGCAGGCUUCCUAUCAUGCUCAGAAUAGAACCCAGACUCCUUGGAGUGGCCCACCAUGCCCCACCCCACAGCCCUCGUCCGUCAGCCCUGGCAGCUGGCCGGGUUGCCCAUCAUCAGGGGAAGAUGCUCAUCUUUGACUCUGUCUGGCAUCUUCUCUGCAGAGGGGCCCCCUGCCUGCCCACCCACUGGCAUCUGCGUGGUGGCAUGUAGCCCUCCUGGGGUCCCCUUGUGUGUGUACCGAUCCAGGGCCACGUGCUCCUAGAGCGGCUGUCACACCCCACAUGCUCCCUCAGCAUUGGUUGAGUGAGAAGAGUGCUGUCUGGGGGCUCAGGGCCCCGAGUGGGUGUCCUGUCCUCGUGGUAGACCAAACAGCCAUCCCCGUCCUCCUAACGGUCCCCUCACUGUUUCAUUGGUGGGCAGAGGCCCCGCGACCUCUGAGGUACAGGCUGUCCUAGUCCCAGGAGGCUAGUAGCCAGUCUGAGCCAAUCACAAUCCAGUGGUUGGUCCAAGAGAGGCGUGUGACCAAGGGUCCUGGUCAGUGAAAGGUCAGGGGCAGUCUUCUGGAAUCCCGGGGUCUUCUGCAUCACUCAUCCUCCAGGAGUGGUGAGGACGGUGCUGCAGCAUCACGGGCCCUGACCAGACAUCAUGCAUCCGCUAAACGAGUGUCUCCAGCCACGUACCUCCAGAGCUCACAAUGGGGCCUGCAGUCACCUCGAGGUGCCUUGGUUUCAGGAUGAGAACAGAGAGGAAUGGAAGCAGGUGCAUGAUCUCUGUAUCACAUCCAAAGAUCAAACCCUCCAGCAAGAAUACAUGAAUGCCAGCACCCAGGCAUAACCUGCAGGCGCCUUGUCCAGGUCUGCCGCCCAGCUGGGUGGUGAGCAUCGCUUUAUUAGUUCCACAGACCUUUACUUACCACCCAGCGCUGCGCUUAGGGCUGGGGCACAGAUCGACAGAGGGGACUCACCCCUGCUCCUUUGGUGCUUAACGUCUAGCAAAGGAGAUGACCAUCAACCCUGCGCACUCAGACCAAAUGGAGUUCAGUGUGGUAGAAACUCAACUUCCCAGGUUUCGGUGUGUGGGUGUUGCCUGGGAACAAGGAUCGGGAGCCGUCAGGUGCUACAGAAGUUCUCUGUCUUGACUGGGGGUGCUGGAAACGCGGCGCACACAUGUGUAUAAUGCACUUGAGCCGCACGCUUGAGGGCCCUUUAUGAUGCCAUGUAUAUUUUAUACUGCAGUAGAAAUAAAAUAUUAAUCGUGA